rnacentral:tRNA from 1 species
GAAGUAUGAGGUCAGAUGAAAGCUGCUAACUUAUCAUCUUAGUGGUUUAAUUCCAUUUAUAUUUCU